rnacentral:rRNA from 1 species
CACGUAGUUAGCCGGUGCUUAUUCUUACGGUACCGUCAUGACCCGGGGAUAUUAGCCCCAGGCUUUUCGUUCCGUACAAAAGCAGUUUACAACCCGAGGGCCUUCAUCCUGCACGCGGCAUUGCUGGAUCAGGCUUUCGCCCAUUGUCCAAAAUUCCCCA